rnacentral:lncRNA from 1 species
CUCCGUCCAAUCCAAUGAAGCCUCAACAAAUGGGUAGCUGCUUAGCCUGUGGAAAUUGUCUUGCUGGUUGCCCUUAUAAUGCCAAAAAUUCCACCGACAAGAACUAUAUUCUUUCUGCAAUUCAGGCAUAUUUUCUCUGACUUCAUAUGCAUUUUGACAUUUUGUAUCUAAAAUUUAUAUCUAUACAUACAUUGAUUGCUUUUAUAUCAAUUUAAGUGUUAGAUUGGCAAACAUUGCUAUCCGAACAGCAUCACUCCAUCUAGAUCCUAUCUGUAUGAUUAUAGUUCCAACAUGUUCUGUCAUUGAUCCAUUCUUGACAAUGGCUCAGUAACCUUAACUAAUUUGGAAACAGUAUGGAGUAAAAUAAUGCCCUAUGCAAUUUCAAAUCAUAUCCUCAUUUGUAAUAUAAAUGUCUCUGUUCAAAUCUGACUUUUUUUCCUUUCCCUGAUGCAGGCUGGAUGCAUAGUUAAAACACAAUGUGAAGUUAAGUGUGUUGUCAAAAACCCAUAUGUAAGUUCGCAAGAUGUGAAAACUAGCGGAAAAAGCAGAAGAUGGUUUGUUUAUUUAAAUGAGGUUGACUAUAUAACUGCUGAUUUUGUAAUCCUAUCAGGUAGGAAUCUGUAGUGACAAAUGUUAGAUCUGUUACUAGAAUAGAAUUUCUAAACCUCUUACAAGAUUAAAACUUUGUGUUCUCAGCGGGUGUUUUUGGCACUACUCAGAUUCUCUUUCAGUCACAAAUGAGAGGAUUAAAUCUUUCAGACGCACUUGGGUGUGGAUUCAGCUGCAAUGGGAAUACUGUCGCUUUUCUUGCCGGAAGCCCUGCUCCCCUAAAUUCUUAUGGAUUAGUCAGAAAGAAAAUCCUAGAGACACCAUUUCAACUGCGACCAGGGCCAGCCAUCUCUUCAUCUUACACUUCUUCAUUGGGUUUCACAAUCCAGGUCUAAGGUUUCAGUGCACUCAUAAGUCAAUUUACUUUAGCUCUCAUGUACUUCUACUUUCGUGAUACAAGAUGUGAAAGUAUAUGAUCAUCAGAGUACUCAUUUUGCUUUUGCUUUUGCUUUAUGGUAGUUAAAAAAUCUCCUGACACUAGUUUUCUUUUCUUUCUCUGCAGAAUGCCGUACUUCCAACUGCUUAUCCCUACUUGCUGUUUAAAGGGAUCACAACUUAUGGAUGGCCGACUGGUUACUGGUUUUUUCAUGGGAUUAUAGAUAAGCUGAAGCAUUUUGCAGGUUUUAAAUCAAGCCAAGCAAUGGUGCUUAAUGCAAUGGGAUAUGAUGAGGGCGAUGGGAAAAUCAUGUUUGAGAAGAGCACUAACAAAAUCUGCUUUAGUCCACCUCGUGAUCCUUUGCUGCCACGAAAAGUUGAGGCCUUUCAAAAGCUUACCAAGAAAUUAGGGGGAAUCCUUUUCUUAUCAAGGUAUCGAAGCACUUCGGUUCAUCUUUUAGGUGGUUGCAAUGCAUCUUCAGAUCCUUCACAAGGGGUUUGUAACUCCGUUGGUCAGGUUUUUGACCCAAAGGCCGCUGCUGGUGUGCACCCAGGCCUAUAUGUCUGUGAUGGUUCUUUAAUACCAUGUUCUGUUGGUGUGAACCCUUGCCUUACUAUUGCAGCAGUAGCAGAGCAUGUAAGUAGGCAUCUCGUGAAGGAUGUUAUUGAGUACAAGAACAAAAAAGGCAUAGAAGAUGUUGCUAAAACUGUUGAUAAGAAUUUGAAGAGCACUCAGAGAUCAAUGGUUGUGAUUAAAGAGACUAUGAAAGGUUACAUUGGGGGUAUGCCAUGCACUGCUUAUCUCAAAAUGAAGAUGAACUCUCAGAAUCUUCAGGGUUUUGAUUAUACGAAUUCUGUGAUGGAGGAUUCUCAUUCGCUACUAAGAGGAAAAGUUGGUGGGUGUGUUGUAUUUACAGCUAUUGACAAGGAUACAUUACAUGUUAUAGAUGGGGAUGUUGAUCUAUGCCAAGUGGAUUCCAGAACUCCUUACACACAGUACAUGCGCUACCGUAUUCUUCUUGCAGCUUCUUCUGGCUUAAGGUACAAUAAACUUUGAAUUUGAUUCACUCUUUCACUUUCCUUUUUCCCCUACAUAACUUUUAAAAUCUGAUUCUGUGCAGAUAUAUUCUUGAGGGAAAGAAGAUAAUGAAUCCUUUUCUCUUUGCGUUAUAUGCUUGGAGGGAGACAACUACGUUGCACGUAACAUUCAAAAAUGUUUCUGGCAAUGGUCUGCGGGAUGAAGUCACAAAUUUAACAGGGGAGCUUAAAAUUUCCGUGAUAGAGCUACUGAAGAGCCUCAUGACCCUUGAAGGGAACAGGAGGAUAAACUUCGCAUGUCUUCUCACACAGAGUGUCCUGAGGACCUAUAUUUUACAAAUACCACGAGGGGGCCACAAUGACUGUAACUUGCCAGAUUCUUACCAUAAACAUUAUCCGAGCAGCUCUGUUCAUGAAAUUAAAGCAGGUAUUAAAAAAUCUACUUCAAUUGGUUAAGAUCCUGGAGAUAGAAAUUUGCUUAGAUUUCACCUGAUCAGGUGCAAAUCAAAGUUAGUUGUUAGAAGACAAUAAACGGAACAUUUAUAUGUUUUAAAUAGGGAAGAGUGCGCUGCAAUCCUUAAUUUUGCAUGAUUCCACAAAAAACUACAAAUUAUUUCACUUUAAUACACUCAGAUUACUGAUAUGACACUUGUCCAAACUGAAAUGAUGGACCAAAGGUAAGAAUUGUUAAUUUUAUUUUCUUCACUGAUACAAGUUUCUGUUUUCGUUGGUUGCUAUGGAUCAUACAGAAGACGGACGUAUCAUCUGUUGCAGGCAAUGGAAAUGUGGUCAAACUCCUAGGAGGCUUAAAGGAGAGAAACAACUAAAUCCAGUUCUCCUUCUUAAUGGAUAUUCUAUAGAAAGUUACUGGCUCCCAACGGAACCAAAUGAUUUAGUUAGAACACUAUUGGAAGAAGGGCACGAGACGUGGCUACUGCAAUCGCGAUUGCAUCCUUUAAAUCCUGCAGACAACUUCACAAUUGAAGAUAUUGGAAGAUAUGAUAUUCCUGCUGGUAAAGGAAGGAUGCAAAAAAUCCAGUCGAAUUUAUAUCUUACACUCGUUUAGUUGUAGUCUGAGUGAGCAUUUUCUUAUCUAUGUUAUUUUUACAGCAAUUGGUAAGAUCCUCGAGUUGCACGGACACAACAUAAAGGUUCACAUAGUUGCUCACUGUGCUGGAGGCCUAGCCAUUCACAUAGCUCUUAUGGGAGGGCAUAUCUCUGCAACCCACAUAGCUUCUUUGUCUUGCACAAACUCUUCAAUGUUCUUCAAGCUGAAUGCAUUGGCUACAUUCAAAAUGUGGCUUCCUCUGGUGCCCGUAAGUUUCUCUCUCUCACUCUCUUUUUUUUUUUUUAAAUAAUCUCAAACUUGGAAUCUGUUAGAUGUUUUACUCCAGCAGCAAUCAGUACUGGUGGAAAUCAUCAGUCUCGACUUUUGGAGUUGUGAUACAUGUUUGAAAUAGGGAGCAUAUGUUUCAAAGAGUAUUAAUAGUUUUAUAGCAGGAGACAUCUUCUUACAUGUUUGCAAACCUAUAGCUUGAGCCUCAUUUAACAUAACUCAAUCUGCAGGUAUCAAUGGCUAUACUGGGCAAGAACAAUAUUCUGCCUCUGUUAGAAAGGUCAGAAACCAGUUUCCGCCACCAUCUCUUGAGAUGCAUUGCCCGUUUUAUCCCACGCUAUGAGAGAUGCACAUGUAAUGAAUGUGAGGUCCUAUCUGGUGUAUUUGGUAAUGUUUUCUGGCAUCAAAAUAUAAGCCGUACAAUGCACCAUUGGAUAUACAGGGAAAACACAACAAGGCUUCCCAUGGCAGGAUUUCCUCACCUCAGAAAAAUUUGCAACUCGGGAUUUAUCGUGGACAGCCAUGGAAACAACUCGUAUCUGAUCCAUCCAGAGAGAAUGAAACUCUCGACGCUGUAUAUCUCUGGCGGACGGAGUCUUCUUGUGACUCCAGAGACUUCUUUUCUGGGCAACAAGUAUAUGAAAAUGCACCAACCGGGUUUUAGACAUGAACGGGUAGUUGUGGAUGGUUUUGGGCAUUCAGAUUUAUUAAUCGGGGAGGAGGCUGAUAAGAAAGUCUUUCCUCACAUAUUAUCUCACAUAAGAUUGGCUGAACAAGGGAAAAAUGGUGUGAUCAGUUCAGGAGAGAAAUAUAGCAAAGAGUCCUUAGCUUGGGAAGAUGAUUUCUACUCUGCGUCCAGAGGAUUUGGAAGCAGCUGGUAUUCCCAAAGGAUUGUUGUUUUGUUGAUGUUGUUGUGGGUUGUUAUUAUGUUGAUUUCAUUAUUCCUAUGAUUCAUAAACUACAGUGAGGAAAAGAACCAUUAUGGGGAAUUGCUCAGUUUACGUUUACAGCCAUGAAUAAGAUUUUCAGUGGCAUCAGUGCGCUUGAUGCGUUAGUUUCUGCAGGCAAGGUGGGUAACUGUUGACUCUUAUCAACAGCAUGCAGUCAUCACAGGACUUGCUAGCAUGAUCAAGAAGGAAGUGGGUUAGUCUUGAGUCAUUAUCAUCCACAACAUCAAAGAAUAUUAAUAAUAAAAGCAGUUGCUCUAAAGUAGAUGCGGGUCAAUCGAGCUUAAAUACCCAAAGCUAAUCGGGCUGACUAUGCCGUUCUACCAUUGACAACCUCUAAAGUCCAUCAACCUCUCUCUUGAGGAAAAACUUCAAUUAACUGAUUAACAGAAUCAUUAUUUACAAGGCAUCUAUGUUCUUUCAAAACUAUCCUUAAUUCAAUCUCUUUCCGCCAAAUCGCUUCUUCUUUAUGAAUAUUUUUUAAAAAAAAAAAGAAAUAAUACUUCAUUUUAAUGAAUAGGGGACGGCAAAAAAAAGUGAAAUAUCUUUUCAUCAAAAUAAAUUGAGAUUUGACAUACCAGAAAUUGUUUAAAGGAAGGAUGAAGAUGAGAGAAGUGUCGGUGUUGAGUGGCGAGCUAUAGACAUGCGAACGCGGUAGCCGUACGUGUCACAAAUACCUGCUUCAUUGGAGCUGGCGGCGCAAAACGCUGAGACUCUAUUUUUGUUAUACAAGUCGCCUUGGAUCUUCAUCUUCUUAAUUAUUACUAUUAUUAUUAUUAUUAUUAUUAUUACUAUUAUUGUCAAGUUCUUUAAUUAAUCUCGUCAAUUGUUGAUUCUUCAAUGAUUCAAUUUAAUUUGGGAUAAAAAUAAAGAAAGAAAACAGAUUAUAAUGGGAGAGAGAGAGAAGGAGAGAGUCAAUAUUGAAUUGUACAAAAAGCGAGUUAGGG